UCUCUCCAUAGUCAUAGGGACGAAUAGCUACGAAAAAAGUUUCCCCAAAUUUCUUUUUCCUCUCCUUUAUUUUUCUGCUCGAGGGACAAAUAGCUCCGAGAAAAUCAAAAACCCUAAUUGCAACCCUUCCUUGAAAACUUUCGAUCCAAACCCAAAGUGUCUAAAUUAAAAUUUGCUCCACAUCUUUUCUAUAUUUCGUACAAAAACCUUUCGUCAAUACGGUUUCUAGUUUUACAUUACCUUUGCGUCUGUUUCCACAGUUGAAUUCCUAAGAAUUCAUGUGGGCUUGCUUCAGAAUCUCCUCCUUCUGCCCAUCGAAAGCUCCAAAUCGAUGAGAAAACAUCCAGUAGUACGAAGCCAUUAUCGGUUUCUUGAAAUCGCAUGGAUUCCAGAAUUCACAGACCGCCAAGUGGGUCUCAAGACAACCUUCGGUUCUUCAAUCCAAAGUAUCCACCAAUCUGAAGCCUAAAUUUGAGUUCCUCCAGGGUUGCACAAAUUUCUGGCAUACUGCUUCUAAUAUGAAACCAUCAUUGUUUUUCUUGAAGUAAAUUCUUGAAUAGGAUGAAAAAGCAGCUGCUUCUUUGUUGUUCUUCGUGGCUUCUAUUUUUUUAUUUUAAGGGUAUUUUAAAAUCUAACAUUGAUUUAUUGGUCAACGAAGGAUGUUGCAGAUUUCUGUUUUAGCACUGCAAAGGUACCUUAACUUGUUUCUGAACUAGAAAAUGGACAUAUAUUUCGUUUAGCUUCUCCUUUUUUGGGUAUUUUUUGUGUUUCUUUUAUUGUUAGCAACUUCGUGUUUUUUUUCCCUUAAAAAUGAUUUUGGUUGACCUCUCUUUAAAAAAAUUAAGGUAUGAGAACCUUUAAAGCCUUUUGAUCAGUUAAACUUCAAACUGAGAAGAAAAAUCCUCUUUGGAAUGCUAUUUGUGCUACUAGUUGAGUAUCCUGGAAUUAUAUUAUACAUAGAUGGACACUUUGGGCUGUACAUAUAUUUUGUUUAUAUUAUACAUAGAUGGAAAGUUUUUCCUAUUGUUAGAAGUUUUGGGCUGCACAUAUAUGCUGUAAUUAAGUGGGUAAUGACCAACUAUAUGUAUUGUUUAUUGAUAUAUACAAUUUGUUAAAAUAUAAUUAGUUUUUUUAUGGAAAGUUUAAGUUGAUUUAAUUUUUCAAUUAAUAUGUAGUUUAGCACAUUUGUGUACUCUCUUGCUUUACUUAUGUUUGUCAUUGUUGGACUUCAAAAUAGGUGUAGGAUAAAUAAUAUGGAUAUUUUAAAUUAUAUAAUUUUUCAUUUGAAAAUUAGAAAAAAAUUCUUGACAUGUAAAGUGUGUCAAGAAUAAACAAAUUCUUGACGUGUAAAAAAUGUCAACUAAUCUUAUAUAUUUGAUGUUUAUAAACUGUCAAUUAUAAUUUUACUUAAAAGUCGUCAAACGAAAAACCUUUUAUUCUUGACAUUGGAUUACUUGACGUAUAAAAAAUGAAGUAAUCUUAUAAAUGUCAAGUAAAUCCCCCUUAUUUUUUAUAAUGGAUUACUUUACACUUACUACUUGACACAUUGAAAAGCGUCAAGUAAAUGUAAAGUAAACCCUUUUUUGGAAUUAGUUACUCAUAAUGAUAAUCUACAUAUCUUGAUAGAGGAGGUGCCAAAGAUGAGAGCCAAAUAUAAAUCUUUUCAGCCUCUGGGUUUGAUUUCUUUAUGUAGUUGUAAAUUAGUUUUGAUUAUAAUUUUCGUUGUUCUUCAUGUGAAUUUGUUGAUUGUUUUGCUCACUCUCUUAGAUUAUGGAUUAAUUAUGAUUCAUUUGCAUACAAAGAGCACAAUAAUAGAUAAGAUCAAAGAGAAUCUUGAAGAUAGGUUGACCAAUAAAUUUAGAGGGAGAAUAUUUUGGCAUUUUCUAGAAUUCUCCAUGUCAAACCAAUCCUCCCAACUAUUACUGUAACUUAUGCAAAGAAUGUGCAAGCCUAAAUCAACUAGCCUACUACAUUUUCUAAUAAUAGGGAGAGUACUUAAGUUUAGGUUGAAAGACUUUUCCCUUAUUACUGGUUUAAAUUGCCAUGAGAUUUUCAAGAUUAACAAAGAGGAUAUAAAGGGGGAUGGAUGAUCGAAAGGAGUAUAUUUUGAAAACCUGAAAACAGUAACAAGGCAGUACUUGAACGUUAUAUUCAACACAAGCACUGUUGGAACAUAUGAAGAUCGAAUAAAAAUGACAAAAUAGUACUUCCUUCAUAGCUUUUUGAUUCAUAGACAAGAAAGUUUAAUUAUAGAGUGGGAUCACAUCCUUAUGAUAGACGAUGAAAUCUUUGACGGGUAUCUGUGUGGAGAGUUGCUUUUGACCUUCUAGUAGAGUUCAUGAAUAGGGUACCUUAUGUGUAGCAAGGGGAAAAUGGGAAUUUCGGUGGAGGCUUUAUUUUCCCGUUCUUGUUUGGUCUUACAAGGUAAUCCUAACAUUGAGUACCUCACCCAACUACGUUAGAGGAUUUGAAAUAAAGUCCCUAGAAUUAUUAAUUGGGCAGUCGACAUAGCCAAAAUAGGACUUGAAACAGAAGGUCUUCGAUUCAAUAAUGUUAUGUAAAUCUUCUUGUAAUAGUUUUAAUAUUUGUAACAGUUUUAAUAUUUAUAAAAUAUUUUUUUUCUUUUAGAAACAGUUGAAGUGUCCCUCAUGCUCGCUACACCCAAUGGAGUGGGCAUGCUAUACUUCGCAUCAUUCUUUGAGGAGAAAAAAUAUACUCUAAGAAGGAGAAGAUCAGCAUAGAAAGAGCCAACAUUCUGACCGCGUUGCUCAUGUUUUGCUGAAUAGAGACAUGCCCUCUACAAAAUCAGAUUGAUGGGCUGAAAAGAAUUGUAGAAAACCCAAGAGAUGAUGGAGAAGAGUAUGGAGGGUAUUCUUGAAUUUAUUAAAUCUGUAGAGUUGAAAAUGAAUAAAAAGUUUGAAGAACUAGGACAUAAAUUGAAUGAAAUAAUAGAAGAAAUCAAGAGAUGAUGGAGAAGAGUAUGGAGGGUAUUCUUGAAUUUAUUAAAUCUGUAGAGUUGAAAAUAAAUAAAAAGUUUGAAGAACUAGGACAUAAAUUGAAUGAAAUAAUAGAAGAAAUCAAUAGCCAGCAACGUAGUUCUUCGGGUGCCCAAGAAACCAUGCUUAUAUGGGAGCAAAAGCCUUCAAGGAGUAGCACCUUAAUAAGGUAAAAAAGGAUCGAGAAGAAGAUGAAUAUUUGAACUUGGAUUUGAGCAAUUCAAAAGUGUUUAGUACAAAAGAUGAAGACGAAUAAGGAAAGGGAAACAUAGUUGAGGGCAAGUUGGUAGGCAAACUAGAUUGAACAAAUCAGGAACACCACCUACUACCGAAGGACAAGAUGGAGAUCGCUCAUCGUGGCACAAAAGAAAUUGAGGAAGAAAUAAAUAGGCUCAUACAGUCAAUCGACAAAAAUGUUGUAUGCGACAAAAUGAAGAAAAAAGAAGAUAGAAGGAAAAUGGUAUAGUAUUUGAUGAUUGACAGAUGUUUGUUAUAAUGAAUGACUUAGUUUUAAGAAGUGUCUAUCUCAAGUACAUGAUAUUUGUAACUCACUUUUUGGAAUAAGAUUUGUGAUAAUCAAUGAUGUGUA